rnacentral:lncRNA from 1 species
UAGCUCCCCAAAUUUAUUUUCGUUUUUUUAAACGUGUGUGUGUAGAGGGAGGAGGAGGUGGGGAGAGGAAUAUAUAACUGAACAGCAGAAAACACCUUUCUGGAAACAAAGGCAAGGAGCAGCAUUUCAAUUGCAAAUGCAUCAGCCAGAGACCAAAUAACAGUUGUGGGAAGACACUCAUAAAAUUAAUGUACCUUACUUUAAAAAAAAUAAAAUGCUUACUACAGUUACCUCGGUGCAGCUUAAUAAAAAAUUAGCCUUACUGACAGUCUUGUCAACAUCUUAAGUAAAUUAUCAUAGCGCUGGUCGUUGGAGAAGAGACCCUACACUUCUUGCUAAAACACCUCCUAUCAUUAAUCUUAAACCACUUGAAGAUUAUGAUGGAAAGAAUGGGAUCGCUAGCCAUUAUCAUCUCAAAUUGCUGUUAAAAAGUCCGCUGUUUAUUUUUGCAACCAGAGCAAAUGUAUCUGGGAAAUGCAGAAGAGGGAAGAAAGGAAAACACAAGAAAGGCAGAACAAUUGAGGCGAAUCCUGUUGCAACCCCGAUGAUAAACACAUGGAAAAGGCUGUUACUUCUCUUUGGAUUGCUGGAAUUUGGGCAGACGUUAGAAAAAUAAACAAAGCGAUGGCUCCACAUCAGCGCUGUAAAUGCAAUGAUACAGUUAAUGGAAGAUUUCCCUUCAUUCUAUUUAAGAGAAGCCCAGCGCUGCUUAUUGUGGAAGAAUCUACUGUUCCAUCUAUCAGUUCUCUGCCAAGUGCAAUGGAGAUAGCUAGUGUGCAAGCUUUGCAAGCUGCCCCUCAAUCUGGACCUGUGGAGCUAAGAGAGAGGGAGAAAGCAGAACAAUGAAGCAAAGAGAGAUAAUGAAAAACCAAGGGAGUUAUCAUGCUGAGACAGAAUGUGAAAUGGACCUGAAUGAGGAUUACAGAAAAGCAAGAGCUGAGUUAAUUCAAUAUCUCCAUUUGUUAUGGACUAUAUCUGUAUCAUUCUUGUUUCCUGAUAAUAAUACUUUGCAUUUCCACAGUGUUGUUUAUCUGGAGAUUUCAAAGUGCAUUACAAACAUUCAGUAAAUAGGUAAGAAUUCUUAUAUUCAUUUUUACAGAAGGGGAAACCGCAGUAAAGGCAAGUGUAGGCAUCAACCUUUGAACAUGCUGGCUUUAAGUUGGGCCCUGCCUACAUUAGAAACUUUUACACUAGGAAAAUUACUGGUGCAACAUGCUAAUAAAGAUGCACAAUAGCAGUUUAAAACA